rnacentral:rRNA from 1 species
CGACGUAGGGGGCUAGCGUUGCCCGGAUUCACUGGGCGUAAAGCGCGCGUAGGCGGUUCGGCAAGUCGCCCGUGAAAGCCCCUGGCUCAACUGGGGGAGGUCGGGCGAUACUGCCGGGCUAGAGGGCGGCAGAGGGAGGUGGAACGGCCGGAGUAGCGGUGAAAUGCGUAGAUACCGGCCGGAAUCCCGAUGGCGAAGGCAACCUCCUGGGCCGUUCCUGACGCUGAGGCGCGAAAGCUGGGGGAGCGAACCGGAUUAGAAACCCUAGUAGUCC